GUGUUGUAUGAAAGGAGAGAAGGUUAGCACUCGCCUUGACAGGAAUGGAAGAGGCCCCCGGGCCUGACAACACUCAUAUGGUUAAGGCACUGCCACCUACUUUGUGGCAUCUAACCAACAUUCUUG
ensembl:snRNA